AUCGUACGCGAUUUGUGUGAUAACUCAUGUGCGCCAAGUUACAAUUCUGUGAGUAGAUCACGCCCGAUCUAAAUUAGGUGUUUGCGUUAUAAUGUUAAUAGUCGAUGUCUGUGUUCUUUUUAUAUUUUCAAUGUCUCUUUUAUGAUUUGAAUUAAAAUUAAUAAUUGAAUGCAUAAAUCUUAAUUCAAGCUAUUUCUAUUAAUUUUUGGUUUGGUAUUGAAUAUUAUUUUGAAGCUUAUUUGAAUUUAUGAAUUCUUCACAUUGUAUAAAUUACUGUUAGGGACAUUGUUUGUGAGGGCCUUGAGCCACAUCUAGUUUCAUUUGAUUUUAUGUUUUAUAAUACACUUUUCCAUAUUGAAUAAAACCGCACGGACGUAAAACCUU
rnacentral:sRNA from 1 species